UACGGGGGGGGGCAAGCGUUGUUCGGAAUUACUGGGCGUAAAGGGCUCGUAGGCGGCCAACUAAGUCGGAUGUGAACUCCCCAGGCUCAACCUGGGAACUGCAUCCGAUACUGGAUGGCUUGAAUUCGGGAGAGGGAUGCAGAAUUCCAGGUGUAGCGGUGAAAUGCGUAGAUAUCUGGAGGAAUACCGGUGGCGAAGGCGGCAUCCUGGACCGACAUUGACGCUGAGGAGCGAAAGCCAGGGGAGCAAACGGG
rnacentral:rRNA from 1 species